rnacentral:tRNA from 1 species
GCGAUGGCCGAGUGGUUAAGGCGACUGAUUGCUAGUCAGUUGGGAUUUUCCCUCGCAGGUUCGAAUCCUGCUCGU